CUGCUGUUAUGGUGACAUACCUGUUUUUGCAUAGUUACUGUGUAAUUCUGUGGUAAUGUUCUUAACAGCACAACCUCUCUAUUGGUAACAAGAAUAACGGCGUUAAGUUGCGUUAUCCUCUUCUGUCUAUGCGGGUAAUUAAUAUGCAUUUUUAGGAGUUGUUAAAUAUGUAUAUGUACAGGAUUCCAGUAUGGAAAAGCCCCUCUGUAUAUGUGGUAUUUGCGUGCUUCGUCUUAAGGGUGCGGUAGACUUGCUACAGCCAAAUUCAUGAAAUCAUUUGGGGUGUAGGUGAGUGAGGGCUUAAAACCAAUCUGUAUUUUGAUGCUUAGAGGAUGCCAUUUUCCCACUUGUCAGAUAAGUUCCGUGGUGUAAAGAGGGGAUUGUCCAUCUGAGAGAUUGGAUUGUUUGAGCUACGCGGGUUUAGCUAAGGAGGAGCGGGAAGGUCACAUUCAGAAUACAUCAAAAUAAUUCCAAGGGUCUGAGAUGUGCAAAAGCCAAGUCUUUUGAAAGGAAGGGCCAAACCUUGACUGCAGCAUCCUGUAACAGUUGGUCUGGAGGUUUUGCUUCAAUACAACAUCCAAGAAGUUAAUAUGCUAGAUACUUGUACAUGUAAAAUGCACUCUCCCCUAUCUAUGUGCAGUGGGCAGGCGAACAGUAAAGACAUCUUUAAAACAAUCACCAAAACAGCUGAUCAGUAAUAAGCCAAGUAUCAAAUUAAAGCAGCAAUUCAUUCUUGCUCUCCCUAAGCUGAAAAUUCAAGUAUUCUUGGGAACGAAAUAGAAAUCUCUGUUACGCAGCUCCUCUUAGAAGGCGAACAUCUGUGUUUUCAAGACAAGAAGUAAAACUUGGCUUGCUCGGAAGUACAAUCUUAUCUCUAAGUAACUUUUCUACAAUCAGUCUUUCAAUCAGACUUCUCUGGCUUUUGUUAGCUUACAUUAGACCCUUAGUGUUAUUUUGACAUAUUAUUUAUAUGUGGGUAAAUUAUUACUAGCUUUAAAAGUGUUUCCAAAGUACCUAGUUACCUCUGGAUGCUGGUACAGGCUACGUGAGGAGUACUUGAGCAUCUAGUUUGUAGUGGAGGUGUGUGGGGAGUAAGCAAGGCCACAUUUGUAUCGUACUUGUCUUUUUCCUUGAUCAGGGCUUCCAUUUCCUUCUCGCCUCCUCUAGAGAGAUGGAGAUCAUGGAUCAAUUCUUUUUUUCCUGUGGGGGAAAGAUUUUAGUUUAGCUUGAAAUGGCUCUGUUUUCAUUCAACACGCAUAUCACCAAAAUCCUGUAUGUUACCGCAUUUCCCAUUCAGUUUUUUUAGGUUCUGAAACUUACCUAAAUUUCCUAUUUAACAAACUUUCUCUACUUGGAAAGCUAUGUGCCUUAAUUCCGAAUCUCUUUGUGGAGAAUAAUCUAAAGCACAGUGAUCUCGAUUGCAGCGUUCACAGCCGCUUUUCAUUUUGGGGGGAGGGGGGGAAGCAAGCACCGAUCGAGGAGCAUUUCAGUGGCCCGACAUGAGUUGCCCCAUCGCUGAUGAGCACUUCAAACACUGUGUGAAGUCUUUGUGCAAUAGCAAUUCUCGCUCUGCGUUUGGAGGUUCGUGUCCCGGCUGCCAAAUGCAGGCGAGCACAAGCUCUAGUUUAGGAGAAUUCAGGUUCCUGGGGAAGAAAAAAAUACAUAUCCCUCUGGGUUGGCUCCAGCAGCACGGUGGGGUCUCGGGUUAGAAAGUCCACCAUCACCCACAGUAUGCUCAUAAGGCUCAGUCUCACCCAGCAUACUCAUAGGUCUGUCAGCAUUCAGGAAACACUUGUGGACUUCAGCCAUUGCUAACUGUGACCAUGUCCUCUUGUGCCAUUAGUGACACACGCUGUCUUCAUUUCCAUGCCCAGAGCCUCGUGGUCUCUGGGUGGCAAGGCACUGUAAAGUCAUUCCAGUCUUCAUUUGGCUUUGUAAAGAACAGGCUUUCACCCACCAGCAUCCUCAGCCCUUACCAGCGCUUGUGUGUGUUAUUUUCCAAGCUUGCUCUCUCUACAGCAUCAUAAGGUGAAGUAUAUAAAGGUGGUUUGUAAUUAGGAAAACAAUCUAAUAUUUCCUAUUUAUGAGAUUAAUUUUAACAGUUUCUUUUUUGAGGUUUGUUUUUGUUUGAUACAAACACAACAGGAGUAUACAUAUCCCCUAAAUGGACGUUGGAGAAGGUUUGGGCUGUCCUAGCAGUGGAGCGGGAGGUGUCGGCUCGUCGUAGUAUCCAUAUCAUUGUGCCCCUGUUGUGUUUUCUAGAGCAAUCAUUUUCUUUUUUUAAAGUAUUUUAUCUAAAUGCCUAAUAAAUAAUAUUAUUUAAAUAGUUUUAAAAUAAUUUAGGACUGAGAAUAAGAAGCCUCAGUUGUGAGAGAAGAGACUUAAAAUAUACAGAGAGAGAAAAUACCCUUAGCCUCCUAGAGCCUCUACUGAGAAUGUCAUGAAGAUGCAGUGCCCCUUUGUCAAAGUACAUAGUGAUUUACUCGAGAGUGUUAAUUUAAAAUGAGAGACUGGUUUCCUGUGAUGUUCAUCUUUGUUGGCAUAUGUUUGAAUUUCUGAAUUCAGAGCUGAUUUUCUUCUCAUUCAAAGUUGGUCAAGGAAAAAAAGAGAAAAAAUCACCUUGUGCAGCAGCAACUUUUCCUGGUGUGAACUCUGGAAAUAACACGUUGUGAAUUGAUCUCGGUCACGGAGGAGGUGGUUCGUUUUCUUGCAGUGUCGGAACACGUUCAGACAGGCUCUCCCUGGCUAGGUCACGCUUGGCAAACGAGCAAGAGAAAGAGCUGCAUUAAGCCAAACUAAAACCUGUUGGGCUCAAAAUUGCCCCUGCUUGUGGCAGGGGGAGCGUGUGUCUGCACGAGGGACGACGCAAAGGGCCUCUGGUAGCACCGAACCACUCGGCCCCGCAGUACAGCCUUAUGGUGGGCAAAGACAGACGGUGCUGAGCUAGUUGCAGGGCACAUCACCACUUCUGUGGAUCUGGAAGCAAAUUUGCACUUUGCCUUUCGAGGGUGUCCCACUAAAAACCAUCAGAUGAAUUUCCCACACGAGGUUCUUUCCUUCUGGCAUAGUCUGAAAGAAUAAAAAAGGAGAGAGAGACAAAACGAAAGCCCUCUGGUAAUUAUCGGAUAACUUCUGCAAAACAAAAGAGGUUGUUCCUGUCAGAAUCCUCUAUGCAUUUCUGUGUUGAAAAGCGUUUUCUGCCAUUCCUUUUGGGAAAGCAGCACUCGCUGGGAAUGCUGCGAGAAUGUCGCUGUACGAAUCUGGAUGAUAAUUCCAAAGCAGAUGGAGGCUGGCUGGGGGGGGGGAGGGGGAUGUUCUGUUCUUUUUCUUUUUAAUUGUUUCCCUCAUGUCCCUUUUCAUUUAUUAUUUUGUUUUGUUUAAUGAAAAAAAUUAACUCUUUGCAUUUGUGCAAUAACUACUUGCCAUGAGAAUGGGCAGACCUUGGAAAUGCCCUGACUACUAACACAGCACAAGAUGAACUCAAACAGAAAGUGGUGUACUUUUUCCUGAGAACCUUUUUUUUUUCUUGGUUUUUAUUUUGAAUAAUAAGCUCAGUUUUCCCCCCGUGUAUUGUGGUGUCUUACAUUUUUAGCAGUAUUUUAUAUUUUUUUUUUUUCCUGUAACGCACUAAGUCUUAGAUGUUUUUAGAGCUUGUUUGUUAUAGUCACAAUCACAGGUUGAAAAAAAGGAAAAAAAAAAAAAAAAGGAAAAAAAAAAAUCCUCACAAAGACCCAAUUGACCAAAAAGAAUUAAAAAAAAAUUUUUUUUUUUUUUUUUUUUUUUUUUUUGUACAAGUAGCUUUGAGAAGCCCACGUUGUGUUGCUGUGACUCAUCUUUUGUAACAUUUUAUUUCUUGGUAUUUGUUUAAACAUAAAGAAAGUAAGAGUUUAUAUGGCUGGCAGUAGCAGGGCAGCGCUCCCUCCGUCAGCAGAAUGGCAUUGUUUCUUCUGUCUUUGUUUGGUUAGCCAUAUAAUGUUUGUUCUCAGCACUGUACAACGGUCCCUAUAUGAUAUGGAGAAGCAAUAUCACUGUAUGAAACUCACACGAUGUAUUAUUAUUAUUAUUCACUAGCACCCUAGGUGUGAUAAUUGAAGUAAAUAUCUUUUAUACAAACACAA
rnacentral:lncRNA from 1 species